UUUUAAUUUUUUUGCACCUAAUUCCCUUGUUGUUUUGGCCUGAAACUUUUAUUAUAUGUUGUUUCAUCUUUUACCUUGAACUGGUUAAAUUUCCAUCUUCCAAUUAGCUAUAGAAAAACUACCAUAAAUUGUACAAUUCAAUCUGCUAGUUUUGAAACCAGUUUUUCCUGUGCUACCAAACUGUUUCUGUUUUUACCAGUUUGGGUUGAUUUGUUUCUUAGUGUCUACAUAUUUUUUUGGCCUCAAAUUUGUGGCAUUUUGUACAUCAUUGAGUACAUCAUAUACCAUAAAAAUUUCAGUAUUAUCUAUGUUUGCAAAUCGUUUUGUAUAAAUUUUGGAACAAACACUAUCAAUUACUCUAGAUAUUGGUUUUUGAAAUCUUUUCUAGAGCUCUUCGUAGGUCCUUUUGCUUGUGCUUCCUUUAUUGGUUGCUUUACUUUUUUUGAAUGUCUUUGUUGUCUUUCUAUUAUCUUUUGUCACAUUUAUUCCUCUUUGGUUUAGCUAAUUUUGUUGACAUUGAGCUUUUCUUGCUUUAUUCUUUGUUUUCCUCUAUUGUGUUGGUUUUUGGUGGUGUUUGAAGGGUGCCUUAAGAAGUGAAGUGUUGCCACCUGCCGAUGGGUUUACCUGGCUCUCUAGACUUAAUCUCAAGCGGAGACAACGAGGUAACAAGAGAUACUUUAGUUUCCUUCAUUUCACAAACCUAAAAUCCCACUUCUUUUUCCGUUUCAUAUCCGUGUGAUUUUUUUUCUGUAUCACAGACUUUUGUGUAUUUUCUUUUUCUUUAUAGUUUUUCAGAAUUUUCUCGUUUGCAUUUUUUUUUUGCCCUACUGUCUUGCAUGUGUAUGGUUGUGUGAUAUAGCCAUUCCACGUAUUUUUUGCAUUAUUACUGUCAUAUGUCAUUUAGCAUGAUCAUGCUUUCUUUGCUAUUUGUCUUCUUUCACUCUUGCUUUCUUUUCUUGUCUUUUACGUCUCUGUGAUACAUUAGGUGUUGUCUUCUCGCAUUUAGCCUCACCCUUUCUUUGGGUUUCCGGGAGCAUUGGCAUACAUAUAUCUGUUUCUUUCAUUUUGAUUUGCAUUUUUCUCCUUUGGACAUCUUUGUGCCUUCUUCGUGUGGUAAGCUUUACCUACAUAGGUUGGGUCGACAAUCUUUUCCAAAAUGUCCCACUUUACCACAAUUAUAACAUUUACCGGAGUUGCAAUCCUUUGCAUAGUGACCAUAUUUGAUGGAGAUCAAGGCCAAGGACAAAUAGAAGCCAAUCAACAAGGACAAGAGGAGGAAGAGGAUCAAGAGGUAGAUGUGCAAGACGUUAUUCAUCCUUCUCAAAGGCUUACAAGAAGCAUGUUCAAGGCCUUAGAAAAUAAUGGACAAUUGUUUUCUUUAUUUGUAAUAUCUUUGGUAGAUGGUGCUUAAGAGGGAAACAUAAGAAACCUCUUGUGGAAAAGCAUCCUUAGUUGUAGUUUAGAAAUAUUAGAAGCUUAGGGGGGUGUGAACUUAGUAAGGGAUGCUAGGGGGAGUGUAGAUAUGAGUUAGGAGGUGCCAAACUAGGAAGGAAAGUCACACUUCCUACAUGCACUAGUUGGCGCCGAAAGUUGUAUGUCAUUAGGGGCACAUUUGCAUUUGAUUAGCUUAGCAUUUCAGCACCUUUUAGGCUAUAAAUAAAGGUGUUGCCCUUGUACAAAUCAGAUUUGGAAAUUGUAGUAAGAAAACUCUACUCAAUUUGAGAGAGAAAUUGGAAGAGCUUUGGUGCCUUCAUCAAGUCUUAUCUUGGGUGUCUAUGGUGAACCUCAAGUGGCGGCAACUCACUAAUCUUGGAGUAUCCACACUCUAAGUGGCGUGAUCACUCACCUCUCCUUCCAUCUCCAUAAGUUUUCUAUUCUCAAGCUUUGUUCCUUCUUUCUAGUUCAUGUUCUAGCUUAAUUGUUCUUCAUUUAUGUUCGGUACUUUGCUGUAUUUCUCAAUUCUGUUCGGUAAUUCAUGUUCUUUGGCUGUAUUCCAUUGUGUUUUCUUCCAUUCUUGUUGCUUGAUUCAAUUUGACAAUACAUGGACUUCCAUGUAAGCUUUGGUUCGGUGCAAAGUCUUGGUCAGUUCUAGAAUUAGAACAUUGAUCCAAUUCUAAUUAAAGUGCCAAUUCAUGACCAACUCAAGUUGUUCCUAAGAAUGUCAAAGAAUCAUGUAUUCUUGCUAUUGCAUUCACAUCAAUAUUUGUGACAUUUGUAGCACGUGUUGGAAUAUUUCGAUCGAUUGCCUUUGUUAGAUUUAAUGGCCUAAACAAGAGGGGGGUGAACAAAGUAAUUGAAACCGUUUGCAGAAAAUCAAUCAGUUGAAACUUCGUUUUAAUCAGUUGUUUAUGGUAACAUAAAUAACAAAAUCAAAUCAAACGGUUUAUAAUGUGUGUGUGUGUUUAUAAUGGUUCACUCAACCUCUCAGCUACAUCCAGUCCCCAGAACAACCAUUGGGUUUUUCACUAGCAAUCAAUCACAUAUUACACACACUCAAAGCCACAAUGAGGUGAUAUUGAUAACCCAAGAACACUCAUCCUCUUUACCUUUCACACAACCACAGCCAGAACAGUCUCUGACAUUAUAGGUUUAUAAACUUUACAAGUAUAGAAAAUUAACAAUUACAAGAAUAAAAAAGGAACAAAUUACACAUGGUAUUUCAGGAAUCACAGAGCUCCUAAGAUUAGUUCUUGAACCAAUACACAGCCUUUAGGCAAUCUUGCAAAACUUUGAAUCAAAUCUCUUCUAAAAAAAUGUUUUCAAUCUCACUUUCUGUGUGAUUUUGAAUACAAAGAGAAACCAUAUUUAUAGUUCUUAAAUCUAGCCGUUUUAGCCGUUAAUCACGAGUCAACCAGUUUUAAUUCAACUGAAAACAAAUUUAACAGGUUUUUGAAAAGCGGUUAAGGAAUGUGACAAUAAACUGGUUGAAAUGUCGUUUUAACCGGUUGAAUUGGUUUUGACAGUUAGUCAACCAAGUCAAAAACAGUUUUGAAAACCUUCAAACAAGCUAAGUGUAAAACAACCGAUUAUAUCGUAAAUUCAACCAGUUGUUUUUCUCUUUCCUUAGAAAAACAUGUUUCUCUUUUAAAUCAGAUUGAUUCAGCUUCCUUAUAGUACCCUUCAUGACUCCUGCAUUUACCACCGCGACCUUUUCCACGACUUCCACAACCACGCCCUCUACUUCAAAUUUUUUAAUAAUAAAGUUCAUUUUCGUUUUUUUAUGCCUUGGUUUGAAGUUCUUUCUCGAGUGUUUCCUCUUUCUUCUUCUUUCUAUGUUGCUUGUGUGCCUUGAGAGAAUUGACGAGCUCGUCGAUUGUGAGCGUCGCUAGGUCCUUUGACCUUUCUAUCACACACACAAUACUCUAAAAAUUGGCAGUUAAUGUUCUCAAAAUAUUUCCACAACUUCUGUAUCGAUUAACGUUGCACCAUUCUGGUCGAGUUGAUUCACCACAGUAUGUACAUGUGUGACGUAGUCAGAUACACUUUUCGACUCCAUCUUGUUCAUGCUCUCCAAUUCACCACGAAAAGUUUGUAAAAUCAUGACUUUUCUACGCCAAGUGCACGUUGUCAAAAGUAAUAAUUUGUUCCUAAGGACGAAUAUCGAACCCACAAGAAAUAGUUGAAUAAUCAAGUAAAAGAUUCACUAAAUUUAAAACAGAAUAAUAAAAGUUUGUUGAGAUUUGUUAUGAUGGCAAUGAUUAAUAAGAAAACAAGUUAAAGAGUUUAUUGCUUCAAUUGGAAAAAUAAGGAUUAAAGUUCAUCUUUCUCACUCUUUUGUAUUUUAGCAUGAGAAUAUUGUGUCAUUUGAAUGAUAUUGAUGCCCGUAGAAAAAUCAUUUAUAUUGAUUUCUCGCAUAUAAAAUUAUUAAGAUGCUUCCUAAUUAUCGAUUUCUCGCAUAUUUAUAAAAACAACUUAUCAUUAAGAUUAGACGUUGAUAGCAAUUAACAUUUCAAAUCUAUUCCUAGCAUUCAAAUAUGUUAAGCAUUGUCAUUUGGGUCAGAACCAUAGAAGUACUUUCCAGUCAAAUCUAAGUUUUGAGAUCAUGGAAAACCAAGCAUUACAAACAAAACAAUAAUACUAAUCAUCUAUCAAGAACAAAAUAUUAUGCUUAGAUGUCACCUCAAUAUAUAAGAGUUUGAACAUAUUACUCUCAAUCCCAAAGGGUAGAAUUAGUCACACAUGAUGGUUGUUACAAACAGGGAGAGCAAGAAAAGAGAUUUUGGAUGUUUCUUCUUGACGACUAUCUCCUCUAGGGUUUUCUAACACCUUCUAUUCUCCUAAUUGGAUUACAAUUCACUCAAUGUUGUUUUCCUCUCAAUCACUGAUGUCUAGGGUUGUGCCUCAAGCCUCUUAUUUAACCUAAUUUUCUUAGGAUUAAGUGACUUCUUGCUUGGGCGUUAAUGGACUCACCUGGGCCCAACGCUUCUAGAGCAAUCUCGCUUGGACAAUAUUGAGCUCGCUUCAGCGAGAUCCACUGGUGGUGUCUAGCUUGGGCGAGUGUGGGUGAGCAUUGGUGAGUGUUGGUGCAUUCCAACUUUCCCUUUUUAGCUUUGUAUAUUCUUCUUUUGUCAAAUCAUCUUCAUUUUUUCCUAAAAUCCUGAAACUAACACAAAUUUGGGAAUAAAUCGUUCUUAUUUAAAUUAAAAUCACAAAAUAUAUAAAAAUGUAUAAAUUCAUAAAUUAGGGAUUAUUUAAUGUUUAUUUUAUCAAUUAAUACUCAUAAGUGCCUAUAUUUUAAUAUGAAAUAUUGUUGAAAUUUGAUACUUAUCAUAGACUUACUUCCUUAACUCAGUCGGCUCCUUUGAACACCUUUUUAAGAAUGUCCCAUGCUUUUUUUGAGGUAGUUGCACUAGCAAUCUUCUCAAAGCUCCACCCGUCAACGGCUCGGAACAACAUGUAUAGUGUCGCCUUAUCCUUUGAUCGUGUCUCUUUCAACGCCUUGGUUUGAGUCGACGUAUAACCCAUGAUAUAUGUUGGUUCUUCGAAACCUUCUUUGACCACAUUCCAUACAUCUUGAGAACCAAGAAGAACUUUCAUUUGAAUGCUCCAAUUAUCAUAUAUGGUCGCCUUCGUUAAUAAAACCUUAUUAUGGUCAUAAAACCCCACUAACAACUCUUGACCUUUCAUCUAUCAAAACUCUCAUUCUUUUAUUUUCCACAACUUCUAAAUUUAAAACCCACAAAAUAGCAUUUAAAGUUUAUUCAACAAGAUCGACUUUGGAUAUAUUUCAACAACAAUUAGUUCUUUUUCUACUUUUUGAUUCGUGAAUGGGUUCAAUCAUUGCAUAUCAUCAACUGCUAUUAUUAUUUUAAACAUCAUACAUCUCUAAUCAACAACUCUAAAAAGUAAUUUCCACCUUUCUUCUUGUAGGGAUAUCGUGUGCAGAAGCGUGAUAAUUUCAACCAAAGAUUAUGAGAAAUUAAAGUAACAAGUAAAGUGAGAAUGAUACCAUAAUUUUUAGGUGGAAAACCCCUUUAAAUAGAGGUAAAAAACCACCGGCGAGAGAGCCAAAACUUUCACUAUAAUGAUACUGGGAGUAAAAUGAAUUCCUCUCAGACUAAUAGAUAAAUAGCCCUAAAACAAAUCCUCUCUAUAUGGGUUAAACACUUACACCCAAGAACAGAAAUAGAGAGUAUAUGAAAAGAGAGAGGAAGCAAAGUGUGUGUUGCUUGUUUUGUAGUGUUUUGUAGUGUUAUUACAUUGUUUGAAGGAAGCCACUAUGUAUAGUGGUUCUAGGAGACAACAAUAAUAAAUACAAUUAAUUAUAAUUAACCUCCCAUUGAUGAUAAUUGAUUGUGGGAAUUAAUCUCCCAUUGAUUGCAAUUGAUUGCGGCAAUUAAUCUCCCAUUGAUUGCGACAAUUAACCUCCCAAUUAUGACAAGAAAACGGAAAGGUGAGUCAUAAACCCACACUUCUAUAUUCUCCUUUCCCUUACAUUCAACUAGAAUUUGCUUGAAAUUGUAGAAGGACUUUAUUUUAUACGGUUGAGGGCCACUAUUAUUGUCCUUGUUUGAAAAAUACACGCACUUUGUUUUAAGAACACGAGGUACGCAGUUAGCCUACUGUAUCUUUAUUGGAAAAAUACUGAAAUAUGAGAAGUAUAAGUAUUUUAUGGAGUUGACAUAUACGAUUCUUAUAAAAUUUAAGCUUCUUCACAACAUAUGAGCUUAACUGUCCUAGAUAUGUUUUUCUGUCAUAUUGUUUCUCUGUUAUGGUGAUGGUGGUGGAGGAGACUUGUAGGUGGGGACUUAUAGACAUAAGGUGAAGGUGGAGCUUUGUGAUGGUGGUGGGGUGGGUGUUCUGCAUGUUCUUAUCUUCUGUCAGUAUGCAGUAGCAGUCGUUGUUUAGAUGAGCUAAAAAAAUAUUGUUUCUCUGUCUAUAAUCUGAUAUUGCAGAUAGAUACAAUGCCUGCAUUAAAUUGUGGUGGCAUUAUUUGUAUUAACUUGUAGUGGCAUUAUUUGCAUAUACUAACCUUAUUAACGAGAUACAGUGCUUGAAUUCCAUAGCUUUUAGAUAAUCCUUAGUUCAAUGCACUUUAAUAUAUUUGGAGUUUAUUUCUUUCAUUUUUCAAAAAGCAGUUUUGAGGAGAUCUCUGCUGACCGUAACUUAGCCUAUUGUCUCUAUUUUC
rnacentral:lncRNA from 1 species